GACGAACGCUGGCGGCGUGCCUAAUACAUGCAAGUCGAACGCUUCUUUCCUCCCGAGUGCUUGCACUCAAUUGGAAAGAGGAGUGGCGGACGGGUGAGUAACACGUGGGUAACCUACCCAUCAGAGGGGGAUAACACUUGGAAACAGGUGUUAAUACCGCAUAACAGUUUAUGCCGCAUGGCAUAAGAGUGAAAGGCGCUUUCGGGUGUCGCUGAUGGAUGGACCCGCGGUGCAUUAGCUAGUUGGUGAGGUAACGGCUCACCAAGGCCACGAUGCAUAGCCGACCUGAGAGGGUGAUCGGCCACACUGGGACUGAGUCACGGCCCAGACUCCUACGAGAGGCAGCAGUAGGGAAUCUUCGGCAAUGGACGAAAGUCUGACCGAGCAACGCCGCGUGAGUGAAGAAGGUUUUCGGAUCGUAAAACUCUGUUGUUAGAGAAGAACAAGGACGUUAGUAACUGAACGUCCCCUGACGGUAUCUAACCAGAAAGCCACGGCUAACUACGUG
rnacentral:rRNA from 1 species